GAAAAGUAAGGAAGCUUUGGGCUCUCAGUGGUCACAGGGGCCAAGAGAGAGAUGCAGGGCAGAAUGUGGGAGUUUAGAGAGAGCUGCUUGCGCCCAGGGCUGGCCGAGAUGGGGAGGCCCAGAAAGGGAUUGGCCUGAGCCCGCUACCUGGGCUGUGCUUGCAGAGAAAGACCUUGCUCUAGGCCUCCUGCAAACUGCCGUGGCUCAGCUCCUCCCCCGACCCCUAGACUCCAUUCCAGCAGAAACGCUCUUGGACCAACUUCAGGAAGUCCAAGAGCCACCUCAAGAGAAGCCACAGCCACCCUACAGUUUACUUUGGCAAAGCUCAAGUCCUCAAGGUGCACUCCGGCAAGGAUGAAGAGGAAAAAGCAUCCAAGCCAAAGUCAGAGAGCUGAGGAUGCCAGAGCUAGGUGACUUCUCCAGCUUCCAUCUCAGGUGGUCCCCAAAUUCCAGGAGUCCCUGGCCCGCCAACUCCUCAGAGCCCCUGAUCGCCUACCGCAGAGCCUGCUAAUAAAGCCCUGUCUUCCUUCGGAGGGGACAGUCCCACUCACCUAGCCAAAGGAGCUGUGUGCUUGGGCUUUCUCCCAGAAGAAGCAGGGCUCCCUGAAUCACCCGCUCCCAUGGAGAAAGCCCAGAUGCUGCUGCCCCCAGGAGCUGACCUAGGUCUUUUACAUUCCGGUAAACUGACGUGCAGCUUAGAAAGGGGCUCUGCCUGUCCUGGAGCCAAAAGCCACAGGGCCUGGGUAUGUUAGAGCAGAGGUUAGGGAACCCACAUUCUCCUUGAGAUGAUCAUUCUAACCAAGAUGCGUUCCUAUAUGUGCCAGGCACCGAGGCAGAGAAAGGUGGUAGCUGGUGAUGGGCACCUAAAUAAUGCAUGCAGUACUAUAUUUGAUUCUCCCAACAGGCCCCAUGAGGUAGGAUAUUAAUAUCAUUGCCCCAUUUGCUAGGUGAAUAAACUGAGCCAACACUAAGUGUCACCAAGUGUCCAAAGUCACACUUAACAAGUGUCAGAACGAAGAUUUAAACCCUAGAUGUCUGGCUAUAAACCCCUGCUCAGCCGGGGAUUUAGCUCAGUGGUUCUGCUGCCUGCCUCGCAAGUGUAAGGACCCGAGUUCAAUCCCCUGCUCACACAGCAGCCCUCCCCCAAAGCUGUGGUUACAUUUCUGGAAAGUAUAA
rnacentral:lncRNA from 1 species